AAGAUCAUACUUCACAGGAUCAUUUCUGUAGUAUAUCUUCACAAUCUCUCUACUCACCAGUGGAGUUGAUGCAGCCACGAUGAAGAGGUAAAACUCUUUCUUCUGAGCGUGAGGACGACUCGAAGUUUUGACUUGUUUCAAAACUUCAGUCAUCGAUGAUCGUUCACCUCGAACACUCUGUGUUCAAGGCAUGGAGGAAGAGUAUUCUGAGUGGU